rnacentral:misc_RNA from 1 species
UCAACCACUGUUUGAUGAAAUGGUACGUAAUUGUUAUUGCUGUUUGCAUAUGCUAUAUUAUACAUCUGUGGAGAUCAUAAAAUAUUUUUUAUAUUGCCAUUAGUAUAAUAAUUUCAUAAGUGUUGACUCGUUGUUUAAAAUUAUAGAGUUUUUGUUAUAACUUUAAUUGCACAAGUGAUUUUAGGAAUUCCUUUUUCUUUUCUUUCGAUUUAAAUAAUUUUAUUGGGUUGAUAAUUUGGUUGUCAAAGACAAAGCUAGUAGGGGCUGUUAUUUGGAAAAUAUAGGGCUUGUUUACAUGUCCGGCCAUAAACUGAGACUGGAAAAUACACUACUCAAUGCAAAAUUGCGUGUGUGGAGUAUGUCCUGAGUUAUAUAAAAAUAAAAAUUAUCUUAAAAUUAUUAUGGUUUUAAUAGUGAUUUAUUCUUAUUAAUGGUCUGUGUGUUCGUGUAUUUUUUAUAUUAAAAAAAUAUAAAAAUAAAAUAAAAUAUUAUAAUUUGUGAAAAAAAUUUUGAUUUAAAAAAAAAAAA